rnacentral:rRNA from 1 species
AGUGAACGCUGGCGGUAGGCCUAACACAUGCAAGUCGAACGGCAGCACAGUAAGAGCUUGCUCUUACGGGUGGCGAGUGGCGGACGGGUGAGGAAUACAUCGGAAUCUACUUUUUCGUGGGGGAUAACGUAGGGAAACUUACGCUAAUACCGCAUACGACCUACGGGUGAAAGCAGGGGAUCUUCGGACCUUGCGCGAUUGAAUGAGCCGAUGUCGGAUUAGCUAGUUGGGGGGGUAAAGGCCCACCAAGGCGACGAUCCGUAGCUGGUCUGAGAGGAUGAUCAGCCACACUGGAACUGAGACACGGUCCAGACUCCUACGGGAGGCAGCAGUGGGGAAUAUUGGACAAUGGGCGCAAGCCUGAUCCAGCCAUACCGCGUGGGUGAAGAAGGCCUUCGGGUUGUAAAGCCCUUUUGUUGGGAAAGAACAGCAGCAGGUUAAUACCCCGCUGUUCUGACGGUACCCAAAGAAUAAGCACCGGCUAACUUCGUG